AGUGGAUGGGGAGCAACCUAGUUGUGCGUGUGUAAAGGUAGUGCCAAGAAAAGCGAUGAUCAUGUUGAAAAUCAAUUCCCGGUACCCGAAACCGACACAGGUGGGCAAGUAGAGAAUACUAAGGGGCGCGAGGUAACUCUCUCCAAGGAACUCGGCAAAAUGACCCCGUAACUUAGGGAGAAGGGGUGCCACCGAGAGGUGGUCGCAGUGAAGAGGCCCAGGCGACUGUUUAGCAAAAACAUAGGUCUCUGCAAACUCGAAAGAGGAGGUAUAGGGGCUGACGCCUGCCCAGUGCCGGAAGGUUAAAGAAGUUGGUCAGUUUUAGGAUGAAGCUAGCGACUGAAGCCCCGGUGAACGGCGGCCGUAACUAUAACGGUCCUAAGGUAGCGAAAUUCCUUGUCGGGUAAGUUCCGACCCGCACGAAAGGCGUAACGAUCUGGGCGCUGUCUCGGAGAGAGGCUCGGCGAAAUAGGAUUGUCUGUGAAGAUACGGACUACCUGCAUUUGGACAGAAAGACCCUAUGAAGCUUUACUAUAGCUUGGAAUUGAGUUCGGGCUUCCUGUGCGCAGGAUAGGUGGGAGGCGAAGAAGGUAUUCUUGUGGGGAUACUGGAGCCAACGGUGAGAUACCACUCUCAGGAGGCUAGAAUUCUAACUUAAUUAAGGACAGUUUCAGGUGGGUAGUUUGACUGGGGCGGUCGCCUCCAAAAAGGUAACGGAGGCGUACAAAGGUUCCCUCAGACUGGUUGGAAAUCAGUCGCAGAGUGCAAAGGCAGAAGGGAGCUUGACUGCGAGAAGUACAGUUCGAGCAGGGUGGAAACACGGUCUUAGUGAUCCGACGGUGCUGUGUGGAAGGGCCGUCGCUCAACGGAUAAAAGUUACUCUAGGAUAACAGGCUGAUCUCCCCCAAGAGUUCACAUCGACGGGGAGGUUUGGCACCUCGAUGUCGGCUCAUCGCAACCUGGGGCGGAAGUACGUCCCAAGGGUUGGGCUGUUCGCCCAUUAAAGCGGUACGUGAGCUGGGUUCAGAACGUCGUGAGACAGUUCGGUCCAUAUCCGAUGUAGGCGUGAGAAUAUUGAGAGGAGCCUUCCUUAGUACGAGAGGACCGGGAAGGACGCACCGCUGGUGUACCUGCUAUGAUGCCAAUUGUAAACGCAGGGUAGCCAAGUGCGGAGAGGAUAACCGCUGAAAGCAUCUAAGUGGGAAGCCCACCUCAAGAUGAGUAUUCUGGUGUAAGGUCACGGGAAGACGACCCGUAAAUAGGCACGAGGUGGAAGUGCAGAGAUGUAUGAAGCCGAAGUGUACUAAUAGACCGUCGGCUUGACC
rnacentral:rRNA from 1 species